GCGUGAAUCUGGGAGGCGGAGCUUGCAGUGAGCCAAGACCGCGCCACUGCACUCCAGCCUGGGCGACAGAGCGAGACUCCGUCUCAAAAAAAAGAAUUAGGGGGUGAGAUAGAUGACAGAUGUGGUUAAUUGCAUUAUUCUUCCUGAUUUUUCACGCCUUCCUGUAUGCUUGUCUUAAGAUCUAGCACUUCUGUUCUCUGGGGUUGGAGGAUAUUGUCUUACUGUGUCUCUGUUGGACAUGGCCUUGUGAUUUGCCUCAGCCUUUGACCUUUGAGAUGUAGGUGGAAGCAACAAAGUGACAGUUCCAAGUCCCGACCAUAAGAAGCAUUGUGUAUUUCCAUUUGUGCUUCCAACCGUUCCCAUGACAAGAGCAUACCCUUGGAUAUAGCUGCUACUCUUUCGUCUUGGACCCCAGAAUGAACGUGUGGAUCUCCAGCCUCCCCACUAACCUGUGGGCCUGAGAACAAGAGCUCCCUGUUGCACUGCUGACUGAUACACAUAGUGCAAGCACAGCUGGCCCUCCAUACAGGUUAUGUCCAAGAAGACAGAGCACCUUUGCAUUGAUCAUUGUUGUAUCCUU
rnacentral:lncRNA from 10 species